AUGCUCCUGUCUGAUUGCUGCAUAGAAACUUCCCAGACCCCUGAGGGGACCAUAAAAGGGAAAAUCCUGGAGAAGACGCAAACUUUCUGUUUCUCCAUAUCAAGUGUCUUGUCAGGAAAUAGGUCCUGGGAAGACCUUCUGACUCCACUGGAAUUGGGAAGAGUGGACUUUUUCUGCGUUGACUCAAAAAUGCUGACAGCAAAUGGCAGGUUACUGCUUAAACACAGAUGUCAUUUAUUGUGUCAACUUGGAAAUGCUCAGCACAAUCUGCCCUGCAGAAGAAGUGCUGGGACUUGUGGAUUAAUAAUGAACAGAGAGGCAAAUUUGAGUUGAAGCUCUGUCUCUGCUCCAAUUAUGGGCCUGCCCAUUUGGCCUUUAUUCUGAAGUGAAUAUUUGCCAGGAUUGGACGAAAGCACCUGCCCCAGG
rnacentral:lncRNA from 1 species